ACUGUUAAAAUAAAAUCUUCUUUGAUACAAUUUCUAAUAAUUACGGACUAUUUUUCAAUGGAAUAGUCCCCAUCUCAAUAAUUGCUGACAAUUUGAUCCCUUUUGCAUUUUCUAUUGCCGAUUUUGGCGCGCUAAAUUUGUUAUCAUUGAAAUAAAUAGAAAUUGUAAUGAUAUUUGUAUUUUUUGGCGCACAAAUUAUGUAAAUUUUGGCAUUUAAUGAAUGAGCAUUGAAUGUGCGGAAAUGAAGAACCCUUCUGGAUAACUUCCGUUGAAACGAGUAGCAAAGUUCAGAAAAGCAAAAAGCAUGUCAAUCGCAAAAGUACAAACAGACAACAAGUCCCCAAAGAGCCAGAACAAAAGGAAGAACAACAUGAGGGAAAACGAGGGUACGUUAAGAAAAAAGCGAUUGCGAUAGCGACGAAGACAUCAACAGGAAACGACUCAGAAAUCACGUCAAAAUGGCUAAGCAGCGAGUACCCAGGAAGUAAACUAUUAGAGUCCAAGAAACAAAACUGACGAAGCUGACGAAACCUAAAAGGUUCGCAUUUUUCACUAUUCAAAACAUGGCCGAUAGAUGGCGAGGUUCGGCGAUUCAAAGAAUCUUUU